AGUUUUUCUGGUGCUUGCACUAGAAAAACUUAGCGGCGAACGGGUGAGUAACACGUAAAGAACCUGCCUCAUAGACGGGGACAACUAUUGGAAACGAUAGCUAAUACCGGAUAACAGCAUAAAUCGCAUGAUAUAUGUUUAAAAGUUGGUUUCGGCUAACACUAUGAGAUGGCUUUGCGGUGCAUUAGCUAGUUGGUGGGGUAAAGGCCUACCAAGGCGACGAUGCAUAGCCGACCUGAGAGGGUGAUCGGCCACACUGGGACUGAGACACGGCCCAGACUCCUACGGGAGGCAGCAGUAGGGAAUCUUCCGCAAUGGGCGAAAGCCUGACGGAGCAACGCCGCGUGAGUGAAGAAGGAUUUCGGUUCGUAAAGCUCUGUUGUUAGGGAAGAAUGAUUGUGUAGUAACUAUACACAGUAGAGACGGUACCUAACCAGAAAGCCACGGCUAACUACGUGCCAGCAGCCGCGGUAAUACGUAGGUGGCAAGCGUUGUCCGGAAUUAUUGGGCGUAAAGCGCGCGCAGGUGGUUUAAUAAGUCUGAUGUGAAAGCCCACGGCUCAACCGUGGAGGGUCAUUGGAAACUGUUAAACUUGAGUGCAGG
rnacentral:rRNA from 1 species